rnacentral:tRNA from 1 species
GCUCCCGUGGUGUAGAGGCCUAGCCGCAUAACCCGGUCAAGCAUUCCGGCCUUUCGAGCCGGCGAUCCCGGGUUCAAAUCCCGGCGGGAGCACCA